GUCCUCGUAGCUCAGCUGGAUAGAGCAUCGCCCUCCUAAGGCGAGUGUCGCACGUUCAAAUCGUGUCGGGGACG
rnacentral:tRNA from 1 species